rnacentral:lncRNA from 1 species
GGUCACAGGUGCUGGAGUCCAACCCGGGACACCGGGAGAGCACGCAAAUUCCUCUUGAACCCUAGAGUUGCAGUCAGACUGGUGGCAGACAGAAGAAAAAGAAGAAGAAGAUGAACAUACAUUGACGCACAGAUACAUUGAUGUCCUGAAAAGGGUGUUAUCUAACACUACUCACAGUCAACUCACAGAGGGCACCUGUCUAGACAAUGCAAGAAUGCAAAACUUGUCAUUCUCGUUGUUCUCAUUCACUUGGUCAACACAAUUGAUUGUUUGUUUCAAGCUAUUUUGUAUUGUUCUCUGACAAAAAUCUCUUAUUUCUGAAAAUAAAAUACAUUUAAACAAAAAAUAUCCACAAUUAAAUUCUAUCACACAAUAGAGAACAGCUCAAUGGACCAUUGUAUUCUAUAUUGACAUUCGCUGCAGGAUAACGAGCAUAUUUUUCACAGAAUGUGAUUCCAUCACUCCAGUUUAUAUGGUUUUACACUGUUAAAUGAGACCAUUGAACUAGCCAGUUAUUAGACAGUAUGCUAGAGUUCACUGUACACUUAAACCAUGAAUGGAGUUUAUAGAGCUAUUUUAUGUUCCUCUCCUUUGGCUGCACACAUUUUCUCUUUUACCCAGUGAACUGAACCUUUUAUGCCUAAUGGAGAGGACCCUGUCUCAGUAAAGUCAGGAGAGGGAUAUGAAAUAAGGACGGAAAACAAGGAAAAAAUUGCUCUGCUUUUUUUACCAGGACUUUUUGAUGCACACUGGGUCCCAGAUGUAAUAUCAUGUUCGAACUGCACAAAUUGCUCCAAUUCACAUUGAUCCAAGGGAGGGUCCGGUUGUACGUCCAUUGUGAAAAAUCCACACACUUGCCCCUGUUCCCCCCCUCCACCCCCGUAGAAUGCUUUAAACACAUUAGGACCUUCUUUAUCUUUCUUGAUCAGAGACUUGGCUCUGCACCCGCCUGCCCUGGCAAAAAGGAGAUUUUCCAUUAUACGUAUGACUGGGAGACCUGACAACGCUAUGAGAACUUCAUGCUACCCAGGUGAUGAAAGCUGUGGCCUCUGGAAGUGGCAGAGGGAACACACUGCACUCUCUAUCCGGCUGCGGGGAGGCAGGGUGCCAGUCCAGGCUUCUACUGAAUACAAAGCCCUGUCUAAAUCUACCCUGAUCUUGUGCUAUACUGCUUUCCACAUCGUAACCACCCUCAGGCCCACAAAUCAUGUUCGUCAGUGCUGGCUGUCUGAGUUACGUUACGUCUGAAUCUGCAGCCUUUCUCUGUUGCAGCCUUUCUCUUUCUCCAGUGAAUGGACAGCAGCUGAAACAGGCUCAAGUAAUACAAUCUGGAAAUAACAUCAUGCAUUGUGAAUAUCAUUCUUCAAACAUGAUACCAUUGUAGUUGCACAAAAUAUCAUGGCAGAUUUUAUUCCAAGGUACAAUCUUAUGAAGUUAGAAACCUACACACAUCCACAUCCAUUAAAAACAUAUUUGUAAUAAGAAGGUGACAGGGUUCAAGUCACAGCCUGGGUACUUUGUGCUCAAAACAAGUACUUUGUGCUGCUAAGAGACCUACUGCAGCAGUGAAAUAUCUGCCGGAAUUUCUGGCAAGGUCUGAAGGGGGAUAUGUAUAUGUUAUAUGUGUGUAUGUGGUACAUCCAAUAUAGUGAAGUGUUUAAACUCUGGUGGUUGCUCUUGAUUUCUGGCAUAGACUCCAGCUUACCAUGACCAUGACCUUGAUUAAUUGUAUUACAAAAUAAAUAGGGUGGAUUGAAGGAUGAAAUAAUGCUA